GAUGAAGAACGUAGCGAAAUGCGAUAAGUAAUGUGAAUUGCAGAAUUCAGUGAAUCAUCGAAUCUUUGAACGCACAUUGCGCCCGCCAGUAUUCUGGCAGGCAUGCCUGUUCGAGCGUCAUUACAACCCUCAGGCCCCCGGGCCUGGCGUUGGGGAUCGGCGGAGCCCCCCGUGGGCACACGCCGUCCCCCAAAUACAGUGGCGGUCCCGCCGCAGCUUCCAUCGCGUAGUAGCUAACACCUCGCGACUGGAGAGCGGCGCGGCCACGCCGUAAAACACCCAACUCUUCUGAAGUUGACCUCGAAUCAGGUAGGAAUACCCGCUGAACUUAAGCAUAUCAAUAAGCGGAGGA
rnacentral:misc_RNA from 1 species